rnacentral:lncRNA from 1 species
ACCACACCCUGUUAUUGGUUCACACACAGACAGCAAAGUAUGUCGCUGUGCUUCCUUGUCUUCCUGUGAUGACCCAUGUGCCAUCUUACACAAAUGGACAAUCAAUGGAGGUAAGUGGCCAGCAAAAAUGAAAGUGAAGCAAAGAAAUGAAAAAUGAGAACGCAGGGAGUGAGAUUCAAAUCCAACAUAAAUGGAGGUGAGAAGAUAUAGCUGAGAUUGGGAUGUCAACACUCAGGCAUCCUAGACUUUACAUAGGCAGCCAGAGGAACUUGGCGAAGGUGACCUUAUUGACAUAAAUGAGGAAAGUGAGGACAAGGAGCAAGAUAUCCCAGAGGAAGUGACGCCAGCAAAAAAAAAAAAAAAAAAUUAAAAUUUACAUUUUAAAAAUCACAUUAAAGGAACUCUCAGAGUUAAUUCAUGAAUUAAAAGUGAAAAAGAUUAAAUGUUGGGUGCUCACUCAAAUUUAGAAAGGAGAGUAACAAUUUACCAGGGCAUAGAAAAUAUAUUUUUCUAUACUGUAAGUUGUAUGACAAAAAGAUAACACUGUGUAUUAUUUAUCUUUUUUAUUUUCUGUAUGUUAUGAUGUUUUAAUAUCUUAAAAACCUGUCUGACUGCCCCUCCCAGGGCUGGCCAAUCCUUAGACACAGCAAAGGGCUCAGCUGGGAGUGUGCCUUUGAUACGCAAACUGCCCAACCUAGAGCCAUCUCUCCUCUAUGUGGCCCCUGCACCUCAGGAGGCAACAUUUUUCCUCUGCCUUAGUCAACCAAAGGCCAGGAACCAGGCAACUAAAGACCACCCGUAUAGUUAAGUGCCUGCUGAAAUGAUUCAAACUAGCCAGUCCUAAACUGCCCUUGCCCUGCUGGGAAACCCCAAUAAAGGCUGUAGCCUCGGCUUUCCCUGUACCCCUGCUUUCUGCCUCCUGACCACCCUGAGGCUACCCCACGUGGCCCUGCCUGGUGUGGUUUGUCUCCUGUCUCUAGGACCUGUGAGUGUUGUUUUCCUGAGCUUCUCCUCUGUCUCCUCUUGUGGCUGCACUUGACUGAGCAUUUCAUGAAAGAAUACAGAAUGCACUUCUCAGACUACUCUUGGUCAGUCCUAAGCAGCACAACCUUAGCCACUGUGGAGCUAGUGCCAGCUGUGUGAAUCUGUACAGUGGUGCAGUGUUAAGGGCAAAGAGCACUUUGGAGCCAAGGCAGACAAAACUGCGCAGAGCUCCCAGGCCUGGGUGAUGAUCCCUCUUCCCAGACAUCUGAGGAGUUGCCAUAUUGAUGUUCUCUCAUUGUUUCGGCUGAGCUGGAAUGAUCGAAAUAAUUCUGGGACUAUGACAAGUCUCACCAGACCUCGUUAUGGAUCAGGGAGAGGUGAACUUUAAAAAUAAUCAAGUUCAAAGGAGAGCCCUGUCACCUGUGAUCAGUUUCGUUAGCAGAAUCCCACCAGCCUUGCUCCCCAUAUCCAAAAUGCACUCACCUCCCACAAGGCCCUUCCCUGCUCUUGGUUGGAGCCUCUGAGUUCAGACACAUGCCUGAAGUUAGUUUCUCUGGACUGGGGAGCUUUCCCAUUGCUUCCCAAGGACCUCCUAAUGGCAAGUGAUAAAACUGAUUGGCAGGUGCGUGAGAGAGUCAUAGUCAACUCAUGGCAUGAGAAACAGAAAGUUGAUAAAGCAGAGCUUUUCUAGAGAUUGAGCUGAAAACUUUUUAUUUGGGAAAUAUACAACGUAGCAGAGAGCUGUGCUAUUUAAAACGUAAUGGGAGGUCGAGGUAGGCAUAUCACUUGAAGUCAAGAGUUCGAGACCAGCCUGGCCAACAUGGUGAAACCACAUCUCUACUAAAAAAUAUAUACAACAAUUAGCUGGGCAUGGUGGCAGGCACCUGUAGUCCCAGCUACUCAGGAGGCUGAGGCAGGAGAAUCGCUUGAACCCAGGAGGUGGAGGCUGCAGUGAGCCGAGAUCGUGCCACUGUACUCCAGCCUAGGUGACAGAGUGAGACUCCGUCUCAAACAAAACAAAACAAAACAAAACAAAACAAAAAUGUAAUGGGCAGGCUAUCUGCCUGGAGACAAAGUACAUGCCCAUUUCUGAGAACAUUAUUUGUCCUGGAAAGGUAGUUUCAUAGUGGGAUUCUUCUUCCCUGCUUCUUCCUGGGUCCCACAAGGUUGAUCUUCCUCCAUACCUUUCUUUUGUUCCCUAACAUUUUACAGCAUUGAUUUUCUAACAAAAGGAAGGAAAGUUCCUAGGGAGGUAUAUCAACAUUUCUAAAAGGAAAUGUAUGUAUACUUUGAAAAUACAUAUUUCACAUUAUAAUAGAAUUUCAUAAUUUAGAAAUGAAAAGUACAUCACUCUAAUUAUAUUUCUCUUGAUGAAAGUAAAAUUUGACAAGUUAUCUCUGCUGACAAGAAUCUGCAUCAGUGAAUCUGCAAAGAGGGCACCAGUUAGGGGUGGGGCCUCAUCUUCCUAGAUGGCUCAGGUCUAGAGCCUGUUGGCUGGUCAGACAUAACAUUUUUAUGUUUAUCAAAUAGGAAAAUGAUUUUUUAAGGACCAUCUGGGCACAGGUAACAGGAGAUGCUUGUAUCUCUCCUGUAGGGUCAGUCUUCAGGAGACGGAGCUGAGACAGGAGUCCUACUGGCAAGGUAGGAGCAGCACACUAGGGCUUUAUGGUCCAGGAUGCUUAAGAGAAAGAGAAAUGUACGUGAAGACAGCCUGGCAUCCACUACACAGGCCCUGCCUUCACCGUGUGGAUGUAGUUGCCCUGAGAGUGGACAGAGAAAGAAGAAUGAGAGCAGUGAGUCAGCGAAGGGCCUCAGAAUGGGGAUCUCAGGACCUUCAGAGCUGGCAGCCAUGUGGCUGCCUCAGGACACAGUCAUGCAGCACGUGGUGUCUGAGGGGUAGACAGUGAUUACCUCCUAAUCUCCCACAGAUGGUGCCCUGGGCAGGGGUGGGGAUGAGGACCCACCCAAGCAGGCACCUAGAAGAAUUUGAUCCUGGAACUCUUAGCAGGGAGGCAGUUCUGUGUAGGCAACUUCAUGGCAUCACCUCUGCAGGGCCUUGUGACCCUACCCAGGGUUAUUAGUCCCACAUUCUUCAAGAGCAAUGGCUGGAGAAUGGCAAGAGUUGAAUGGGAGUGGGGACACAGAGACAUUGUUAGGACUAUAGCAAGACAGAUCUAAUGCAUGAGUCUUACAGUGAAAAGAAAAGAAAGCCCAGUGAGCAGUGCCAAAUGCCACAGAAUCAAGUGCCUCCCUGCUGAAGAUGGGACAAGUGAGGACAACCAGGGCACUGUUUUGGUGGAGGAGCUGGAAGGACCCUGGGUUGGUGAAAGAACAUGACCUUAGCAGAGGCCCAUCACGUUAGGA